rnacentral:rRNA from 1 species
AAUUUCUUGAUCUGAAAUCAGGUAGGAUUACCCGCUGAACUUAAGCAUAUCAAUAAGCGGAGGAAAAGAAACUAACAAGGAUUCCCCUAGUAACGGCGAGUGAAGCGGGAAAAGCUCAAAUUUUAAAUCUAGUAGGUUUCUCCUACUCGAAUUGUAGUUUCAAGAAACGUUUUCGGUUUACGCCUGGGUAUAAGUCCUUUGGAACAGGGCAUCAUAGAGGGUGAGAAUCCCGUUUAUGACUCGGAGCAGUGAACUAUGUGAUACGUUUUCAAAGAGUCAGGUUGUUUGGGAAUGCAGCCUAAAAUGGGUGGUAAAUUUCAUCUAAAGCUAAAUAUUGGCGAGAGACCGAUAGCGAACAAGUACCGUGAGGGAAAGAUGAAAAGAACUUUGAAAAGAGAGUUAAACAGUACGUGAAAUUGUUGAAAGGGAAACGUUUGAAAUCAGUCAUGUGAAUAAGUAAUCAGCUUGACAAUUUUUUUUUUUGUCUUGUGCACUUUCUUAUUUACAGGUCAGCGUCAGUUUUGAUUGUUGGAUAAAAGCCAAGUGGAAUGUAGCCCCUUUUCGGGGGGGUAUUAUAGCCCUGGUCGAUACAAUGGUUAGGACUGAGGUCUGCAGCCAAUACCCUUUUUUGGGUUGGAAAAUCCUUAAUCUCGUAUGUUGACCGAGCUUAGACAGCUUGCUGACUAAGUUUGGCUCAGCUGCGACUUUUUAGGAAUUCUUCACAAAUUGGCUUAGGUCGCUGACGUAAUG